GACCCAAUGGCACAACGAUUAGUGUGCUUGCUUUCAAUUGUAAGGAAUGUCGUAGGAUUUAGGCAAGAGGUCCCUGUUCGAUUCGGGGUUGGGUCA